rnacentral:rRNA from 1 species
GGGCGCAAGCCUGAUGCAGCAACGCCGCGUGAGGGACGACGGCCUUCGGGUUGUAAACCUCUUUUAGCAGGGAAGAAGCGAAAGUGACGGUACCUGCAGAAAAAGCACCGGCUAACUACGUGCCAGCAGCCGCGGUAAUACGUAGGGUGCAAGCGUUGUCCGGAAUUAUUGGGCGUAAAGAGCUCGUAGGCGGUUUGUCGCGUCUGCUGUGAAAACCCGAGGCUCAACCUCGGGCCUGCAGUGGGUACGGGCAGACUAGAGUGCGGUAGGGGAGAUUGGAAUUCCUGGUGUAGCGGUGGAAUGCGCAGAUAUCAGGAGGAACACCGAUGGCGAAGGCAGAUCUCUGGGCCGUAACUGACGCUGAGGAGCGAAAGCGUGGGGAGCAAACAGGCUUAGAUACCCUGGUAGUCCACGCCGUAAACGUUGGGAACUAGAUGUGGGGACCAUUCCACGGUCUCCGUGUCGUAGCUAACGCAUUAAGUUCCCCGCCUGG